rnacentral:rRNA from 1 species
AGUGAACGCUGGCGGUAGGCCUAACACAUGCAAGUCGAACGGCAGCACAGUAAGAGCUUGCUCUUACGGGUGGCGAGUGGCGGACGGGUGAGGAAUACAUCGGAAUCUACUUUUUCGUGGGGGAUAACGUAGGGAAACUUACGCUAAUACCGCAUACGACCUACGGGUGAAAGCAGGGGAUCUUCGGACCUUGCGCGAUUGAAUGAGCCGAUGUCGGAUUAGCUAGUUGGCGGGGUAAGGGCCCACCAAGGCGACGAUCCGUAGCUGGUCUGAGAGGAUGAUCAGCCACACUGGAACUGAGACACGGUCCAGACUCCUACGGGAGGCAGCAGUGGGGAAUAUUGGACAAUGGGCGCAAGCCUGAUCCAGCCAUACCGCGUGGGUGAAGAAGGCCUUCGGGUUGUAAAGCCCUUUUGUUGGGAAAGAAAAGCAGCAGGUUAAUACCCCGCUGUUCUGACGGUACCCAAAGAAUAAGCACCGGCGAACUUCGU